GUGAAUCAUCAAAUUUUUGAACGCAAAUUGCGCUUCCUGGCAUCCCGGGGAGUAUGCCUGUUUGAGGGUCAUUAUUAAUAAAAUUCGGUUUAUUUACAAAUUGUGACGUUUCUGGAGUUUGGGCUAUCUUAACAUUUUUUGCUAAGAGGCGUAAAAUUGACCUUUUUUGCGCAUUUUUAAACGUACAUAAAUUUUGUUUAUUCGUCUAUUCUUAAUUCAAAAAUCUUAU
rnacentral:misc_RNA from 1 species